CGGGGCUCAGAGAGUUCCAGCAACUCAGUCUGGUCCUACAUCCAGUGGCGAAUGGGGAGAGAGGAGCAGAAAUUUGAUUCAAAUCCAGAUCUUUAUGACUCCAGAACCCCACACUGAAUCUGGUUUGUGUUUGGGCAUCUCUUACCUCCUGACACAACAGCCAGGCUAAGCUGUCCCUCUAUCUACCAGCUGGAAAGAAAAGUACUUUCUACAAUACAGUACGUUGUUGAUGGUGAAACUGGAGGCUCCAGGGCUUGUUUCAUAAACAUACCAGAGAUUUGUCCCACGAGACAAACGGCUUGAAGUUCUUGCCAAGGGCAGUUUAUGGUGAGCUCCAAGGGAUCUCAAAGACCCUGGCAUCUUCUGGGUUGGAGUUGUUGAGCGGAGCGGGGAGGCAUAGAACGAACCUGGAAACCUGUGGGCUCGGUCACUGUCCCUGUUUUCCACUUUCAGCUCUUCAGGAAAAUGACGGGCUGAAGUUAGGACAAACCCUGAUGCCUCCUCAAUACAGAUGGAGAAAGCCACCAACCGGUAUCAGGCUGCCUGGCCCUCCUGUGCCCAGGGCCAUGCCACUGGCUCCAGGACGUCACUGCACUUUCUGCUUGCGGAGGCCUGAGCUGCUGACUAGCCAUUCUGGUCUCAUUGCUGGAAGGAGGCAGAGGCUGGAGAGACAACCUUGUGAACUUCAGCUACUCAUUUCCCUGGACAGAAUGACAAGCUGGUGAAAAAAAAAAAAAAACUAAUAUGCAAAGCUGGGUCAUAUGGCAUAUAGAGAAACAUUUUCUCCAGUAUCGAAAAAUGUUACCUCUCUGUUAGAAUUCAAACUCCUGUGUCUCUCUAAGUUCAUCUGAAAGGCAGACAGAAUCAAUUAGCAAGGCCUUUCACCCUCCGGCAAAAAAGGCAUUUCUGCAAGAAUGCCUUCCAGAAGCUCUUCGUUGCUUGACGCUGGCUGUUUGGCUGAAGUGAAGGCAGAGACACAACUUUGGGGCUUCCCCAGGGGACAGGAACCGGCUCCAUCCUGUCUCUCUUCCACCUCUGUCGGCUCGACUCUCUACCCCCAGGGGGAGGACCACGGGCACGGCCGAGGCUGGGGUCAGCUGUCAGGAGACAGAUCUGUUUAAUAUUUAGCUUUGAAGGGAAUUGGCUGAAUCAAAGAUGAAAGGGAUCGGCUCCAACGGAUGGGGAAAAACAAAAACAAGUCUCCAUCGUUUCAGGAUUUCCAGAGGAAAAAAAAUCAAAAGAUGAUGUCAAGGCAGGUAAGAGAAAGAGAUGGAGGGAGGAAAGGAGGGAUGGAGAGCCCGCUCUCAAAAGCCCCAUACGUCCCACAUCCAUCUGCCAGCUUGGCCUGGUGCCCACAUACCAUUGAGACAUGCAAGGACCACUCUCAGGGAUGGUUCUGGAACAGAGCUUCUCAACUGUAACGUGCUUACUGGCCCCCGGGGAAUCUUGUUUAAAAUGCAUGCUGGGAGCUCCCCCUGGGGCUCAGUGGGUUAGGAACCCAACAUAGUGUCCAUGAGGAUGCGGGUUGGAUCCCUGACCUCACUUAGUGAGUUAAGGGUCUGGCUUUGCCACCAGCUGUGAUAUAAGUCAAGGAUACAGCUUGGAUCUGGUAUUGCUGUGGCAGUGGUGUAGGCUUCGACCCCUAGCCUGGGAACGUCCAUAUGCUGUGGGUGUGGCUGCAAAAAAAAAGGAAAAAAAAAUGUAGAUUCUGAUUCAGAAGGUCUG
ensembl:lncRNA